UAACAGGGUUACCGUGAACACUUGUCACCACAUCUUGGAACUGGUAUAUAUGGAUGACCGACGUUUAGAUGUACAAAGUUUACAAUGAUUUUGGAGCAUAUAGGGGUUACCUUGGAAACGUACCUCAAUAUCUAGGCCAUGGUAUAUAGGAUGAGCAACGUUCAGAUGUACAAAGUCAUACAGCAGAUUUUAGAGCAUAUAAGAAUGCUGGGGUAUGUAUACUAGAAGAAAAAAGACGCAGACGGACAUGGAGAUGCAGACCAAGCCAAAUGUGCUUUUCUCUUUAUGUUGAACAGACAAUGCAAUUGUUUAGUGGAUGGUGCAGCUAUGGUACAUGAUAUUGACUACAAGCACGUGCAUGGAUGUCAUGUUGUAGAUUUCACAGUGGUUAAGUGGAUGCUGCAACUUGAUCUUUUUUCUGAGGAAGAAAAAUUUAGUUGAUGGAACUACAGUUGUCGUAGAAUUGCCUUGCUGGUACUAAAAAGAUGCCGAUAACCAGAGGGGCACUGGUAACCAUCAUGUCGCUCAUCAGAGGUUUUCUUGACCCCUUAUGCCAACAUAGUAAUCAACUGUUCUCGACAAGACGACACUUGCUGCUUCUACCAGAUGACGCCAGUGGCGGAAGAAGGAACCCGAUGCCCGGAGUAACUUUGCAGUAUAAAAUUUUGCACUGUUCGAUUGGUCAAGAUGGAGAUGUUUUAGUGGAAUUCAGCCCUUGAUGGACAUAUCGUCUGUAUUUGCCCUGUCCUGUGUGGACAGAGAGCUCUUCCACACCUCGUGCACACAUCAGAAUCCGCGAGGUAGGCGACGAAUUUAUUCAGGUUUAAAAUGACAGGAAGACAGUGUUUUACAUUGUUGAAAGACAAAGAAAAAGAAUCGAUUCCAGAACGUGCCUACCUGUGUUUGUCGAUUUCGGCAGUUGAGGGGAGAGUCCGGUGCAUGCCAGAUACUAUCUAUUGAUUUCAAACAAUCUAGUGAGAAAUAUAUGUAGAAGAAAGAACCAAGUAUGAUAAAUCCACGACAGACCUGGCACAAGCAUAUAGCAUGACACCACUACAGCCGCCAUGACAAAAGCAUAGUUAAACAAAUUAGUUAGACAUAAGUUAACAUGUAUAUAAUUAUACCCCAACGUACAAAGUAUAUUGGGCUAUGUUGGAGUCACGCAUGUCCAGUCCAUCCGUCCGUCCGUUCAUUUGUCCACCAUGGCCGCUGGGAUGAUUUUCAUUAAACUGAAAUAAAUUAUAAACCACAUAAAGACGAUGUACAG
rnacentral:lncRNA from 1 species